AAUGCCAUAAAAAUGCAUCUNUGACGUGGUUGAAAUCUUGUCUGCAGAAAACAAAAAACUGAAACAAGCGGUAUCAGUGACUGUGUGUUUGAUGUGGCUCUUUGCAGUAACAUAGAAAAAA